rnacentral:snRNA from 1 species
AGCUUUGCGCAGUGGCAGUAUCGUAGCCAAGGGGUUUAUCCGAGGCGCGAUUAUUGCUAAUUGAAAAGUCUUCCAUUUUUUACACCUCCUUGGAGUUCCCCUCUACGUGUUAGAUGGGAUGCUGCCUAUUUCAGGAAUUGUUUAAUAAAG